UUUCAAUGGCUAUAAUUAAGUCGAUGGGCUUGUUCAGGACUCCUCAAGCUCUUUUUUAUGAGAUGCACAAACUUUAUUCAUAUGAAAUAACAAUUAUGUCAUUUAUAAGAUGGGUACAAUCAAAUCAUUAACAGUCGCCACAAUGGUGCCCGCUGGUUGCCUCCACCUCUCUUUUACUGUGCCGAACGAGAGAGAAAAGAAAAAGGAAAUGCAUCGAUAUAAGGACCAGCGAUGGAAACCCUAGACUAUCGUUUCCCCAGUCCCGCCGCCGCACGCUCUCCCUCUCGCGUGCUCAUUCUCCCACCUCUCCACCUCCAAGCCCCUGCUUCCGCACGUCAUUCUUCUCCCAUCCUCGCGUCGCCGGUCUGGAGGCUAGAGCUUGUGGCCGACGCCUCCGCUCGCCAUUUGCCACGCCUCCGGAUCUGAACUCGCCCGCGGUGGCAGCGAUUGGUGGAUGAGAGCCGAGUCCUGAACGGGAAGCAGCGCCUGUCCCUGUCCCACUGCCGUUGGAGAGGCAAGGAUGGUAUCGGCCGUGCCGCAGCAGCUCGGCGGCUGCCACUUCUUCACAUCCCCAUCGAGUCGGCGAGUCGCCCUCUGUCGGGCCCACGGAAUCGGCUCCCAUGACUACACGUUCUUCCUCGGCCUGUUGUAAACCAUGGUUCUUCUCAAGCGCGGGCUAAGGUGGCACCAUGGCUCGUGCCAAGGAGGCAGCAGCGACCUGCAAACCCUGCAACCAGCAGUAACACGACAUGUCUCCAUCAAUCCGUUGCUUCCUAUACUAGGUCGAUUUCCUCGGACCUGAGAAUUUUGACUGCCUUUUUUCUAGUAUGCAGGCUGAUAUUUCUUCAGGGCGUGGCUGGACUCCCCUCCCAGGAUCUCACUCCACCACGGGGCCUUCCUGCUGUGAGCCUCUCUGGACGGGAGCUACAACGCCCGUCCCCAUCUCACCUUAGGCAAGAUAUGUGUAGAAUUUGGAAAGGACUUGCGAGCUAGGAAAAUUUGGGAAAGGACGUUGGGAAGAUAACUAGGUUUUCAGUGUGGAGGAACAUGACAAUUUGAACCAACUAAGAUGCAAGGGCAUGCUUCACAUGGAUUCAGACACAAUUUUUUUUGGGAAUAGAUGGUUUUACUAGCCGAUGGCAUCAGAGGAGCAGCUGCAUCUUGUGGUCACUUGAGACAGAGCACUACCUCUGCUUGCAAGUGUCAGAACUACAGGUUUUUGGCUGAACAUUCAAUUGUGGCAAAAUUUUAUUGAUCCUCAUGAUUUUGAGAUCUAGUGUGCCUUGUUAGUUUGGAAUCAGAAGAUGCAUGCAUGCUGCAACCUUCCUGCUUAUCAAUUAAGUUCUCUGCAUCCUAAACUCGCUGACCUGGUAUGAUCCGUGUGAUUAAGAGAUGUUUCACCUUUUCUCCAUAACAAUUGUACAAUGCCCCACAAGAGGGAUCCACCACGCCGGUGGACUUCACUUGCCACUCCGGGAAGGGUUUUCACAUUCCAUUUCCAUCCAUCAGCUUUUCAGUUCUUGUUAGUUUUCACAUUUACAUUUCACCAUAUCGGGGAUUUAGAGGGCAGCACUUCUUUCUUGGUUAUAUUAAUCAGCCGCAUUGUUUUGUGAUUACAGAGAAGAAAUGACUUCAACCAGGGCAAAUUGAUAGGGAGGAUAGAUUACGGCGAACUGUCUAUGUCCCAAACAUUGAUCAACAUGAUGCUAAAUAGAAGCUUGCUCAGGUUUUCUCAACUUGUGGCCAAACCCUACUCAAGCAUCUACAUCCUCUUCAGCGACCGACCCCCUGUCUGAUGGAAACGAGAGACGGGCGGUCGCUCUGCUUGAAAAGAGAGACAGACGGUCUCUGAGCGAGGGAGGGGCGGAGGUUCGUCUUUGCCGGCCGUAUGACAUUCCUGGUUGCUGGUGGAGGUGCAGGGCGCUCACCUGAUUUAGGGAAGGCACCGUGGCUGUUCGGUGAAGCGGGUUGAUGAAGCUGAUGUGCUUUGUUCCUAAAAACAAUGCAUCAUCAGUUCCUGGAAGAGUUCAGUACAUGCACGUGUAUAUGUUUCUCUGAUGCUCUCCUGUCGCGUUCUUACUCCGGCAGCAGAAUCUCAAGCAACUAUGGUUCUCGGACUAGGUGGCCCCUCUAUCUUCAUUUUUAUUCUCCAGUACGAUCACUUCUUUGACCCAACAAUUCCGUUGUGCUAUUUUCUUUCCAAUCUCAGAAUUGUACAGUUGGUUUUCAUCCUAGUUCUUCGGGCAAAAUUUGAAGUUUUGCUCCCAUUUUUGGUUUGAGGAAAUUUAACUUGCAAAGCUACCGCCAGGUGAAUUAAUUAGGUCCCAUGGGUUUGGAUACCUCAUCUCUUCACUGACUGCAUCUCUUCAUGUUUCCAGAUUGUGCAUUGGUCUAGAAAUACAUACUUAACUCGGUAAUGUGGACUUCACUACUGUGGUACACUGUAAAUGGCAAGCUUUUACAUGAAGCACUUUUGGUGAUCCUAAGGAUUUGCUACAGAAAAGUAUAAUAUGAUAUUGAGUUUCAUUCUCUUCCUUUCUGCAUUUCCUUGAAUAUUGUGCGUUCAAUUAGCUCAACCGGAUAGCAAGGUAUGUGUUGUUUCUCUGAUCCCAUAAUAUUGGAUUACCAGCUAUCAUCUUGAUUUUAACUGUACACUAUGGUGCCUAGGACGUAUCAGACACAAGUGUUGAGGCUCUAACAAAAAAUGUGAUUUGUUGCUUAUCCAUUUUAUAUUUUUGACUCUCCAUAGUUGUGCCCCUAAUUGCAUGACCUGUUUGCGGACAUGCCCAGUUAGCACACCUCUGCUUAUUAAACCGGUAUAAACAUAUUGUACUUUCUAAAUCUCUGUAUUUUAAUCAUUUUCUGUUAGCUACAAUAGUGCUCCCCUUAAAUAUAAAGAAGCCACACUUGAUGGUGCUAUUAGCGACAGAUGGCUAUGAGAUCCCUCAUCAGCAGUUUGAAGCAACCAUUAUCCUUUCACUCCAUCUAUGAUACUAGGGAUGGCCAUGGAUCUGACUUGGGGAACGUAUGACCUCUGCAAUUAGGGUGAGAUCUGAUUCAUCAAGGGACUCCAUCCGAUUCUUAGGGCAGCUCUAAAAUUCUAGUCUUUCUGAUCUUACAGAUAAUUUGACAAGCUUGUGUGGUGAUUCUGGCUUUGGUUAGUUCUAACUUAUGUGUAGUCUUUCUUUUGACAACCAGUCCUUCCUAAACAUGAAAAUAUGAUGGAUUGUUGUCAAGUAUUACCACAUUUCUACUGUGGAAUUUAUUUUUGUGUGUCCUAAUUUCCUAUUAUAUAACCACACUGUAGUUAUUCCAUAUCCAUCUUCGGAUUUGGAGGUUCUUCAAUACUACGCCGAUACCUCUUUCUAUGAACAAUUACUCUAUGCA